GUCAUCUGCAAUAAAAGCCUUACUGGUUGAGUUCAGCCCACCUGAAGCUCCUGGGUCUCGUCCCACCUUCUUUCCUCGAGUGUGAUCUUGCCUGCUAUGGGCAGAACACCGGGGAGGCAGAGUGGUGUGGGCCACUUCUGCACCACAGGCUUUCCGAAGUGAUUUAAAAUGUUUCAUUCCACGCAUCUCCUGUCAUGCCCAGCACUGGUGGCCAUCCUUGUAUGACCAAUGCUGUGAAGGAGCUAAAGUCUGGGUUCAGGGCUGUCCCUCCAGCAGGAAUCUCCACCUCCUCAGGGUCCCUCGCAGGGGUGGCCCCCCCGUUCACCUACAAAAUGUUCAUAAAUAUGAGCCAGAGCCCACCACCCAGUCCCCUCCCUGGAGUCCUGACCCCAAAGUGGAAGGAUUCCAGAGCCACUGUGGCAGACACCGGAAAACCUCCAAAACUCUAAUUCUGUUUUAGAGAAUCAUUCCUUCUGCCCAUAUUUAUAGAGAUGCCAACAUGAUAGCAAAUGCCAAGUAGUGCACUUUUAAAAUACCUGUAGUCUUUAUAUUUAAAAUUUGAAAUAGUGAGACCAAAAUAUUUUAAUUGAGAAUUGCUUAAUGUCAGAGUAGGCUGCCCUAGUGAAUUAGAAAUCGCUCUCACCACAACCAGAUGGCUGUGCCUCCAGGAUACAGCCCCGUCAUCCUGGCUGGUGGGCAUGGCUUCCGCCCUGCUGUCCACCUGCACGGGACCACCUUCUUGCGAUUAUGGGGACUAUUAUGCUGUUAUUUUAACAUUCACUGUUAUUCUAAUUUAAAAUCUUCUUUAUAUGCUAUAAUAAUGUCAUCCAAGUAUUCAUUAAGUAGUGGUGGCCGUGCUCGUGCUGAAAAAUGUACCCAAAAAUCAAUAACUUUGGUGCGGAAGUUAAAUGUGAUAAAACGCUAUGAAGAAGGCCAAGCAAGACCAUGAUACCCUGGGCUGUUAAUUUAGGAGAGAGCAUUCUGCGAGGUGUUAGAGAGAGUGCUGAGAAAAUAAAAAGUAGCAUUAAGGCAAAGAUA